rnacentral:rRNA from 1 species
UGAGGAAUAUUGCGCAAUGGGGGCAACCCUGACGCAGCAACGCCGCGUGAGUGAGGAAGGUUUUCGGACCGUAAAGCUCUGACGAGCGGGAAGAAAUGCAUGGUGGCUAAUAUCCAUCAUGCUUGACGGUACCGCUAAAGGAAGCACCGGCUAACUCCGUGCCAGCAGCCGCGGUAAUACGGGGGGUACGAGCGUUGUUCGGAAUUAUUGGGCGUAAAGAGCGUGUAGGCGGCCGAAUAAGUCAGAUGUGAAAUCCCUGGGCUUAACCCAGGACGUGCAUUUGAAACUAUUCGGCUGGAGUAGGGGAGAGGAAAGUGGAAUUCCUGGUGUAGAGGUGAAAUUCGUAGAUAUCAGGAGGAACACCGGUGGCGAAGGCGACUUUCUGGCCCUAUACUGACGCUGAGACGCGAGAGCGUGGGUAGCAAACAG